AUUGAACGCUGGCGGCAUGCUUUACACAUGCAAGUCGAACGGUAACAGGCCGCAAGGUGCUGACGAGUGGCGAACGGGUGAGUAAUGCAUCGGAACGUGCCCAGUCGUGGGGGAUAACGCAGCGAAAGUUGCGCUAAUACCGCAUACGAUCUAUGGAUGAAAGCGGGGGCCGUAAGGCCUCGCGCGAUUGGAGCGGCCGAUGUCAGAUUAGGUAGUUGGUGGGGUAAAGGCUCACCAAGCCGACGAUCUGUAGCUGGGCUGAGAGGACGACCAGGCACACUGGGACUGAGACACGGCCCAGACUCCUACGGGAGGCAGCAGUGGGGAAUUUUGGACAAUGGGCGCAAGCCUGAUCCAGCGAUGCCGCGUGCAGGAAGAAGGCCUUCGGGUUGUAAACUGCUUUUGUACGGAACGAAACGGUCCUGGUUAAUACCCGGGGCUAAUGACGGUACCGUAAGAAUAAGCACCGGCUAACUACGUGCCAGCAGCCGCAGUAACAC
rnacentral:rRNA from 1 species